rnacentral:rRNA from 1 species
UACAGAGGUGGCAAGCGUUGUUCGGAAUUACUGGGCGUAAAGGGCGCGUAGGCGGUCUUGUCAGUCCCUUGUGAAAUCCCCCGGCUCAACUGGGGAACUGCACGGGAAACAGCAGGGCUUGAGUUCGGGAGAGGGAAGCGGAAUUCCGGGUGUAGCGGUGAAAUGCGUAGAUAUCCGGAAGAACACCGGUGGCGAAGGCGGCUCGCUGGGCAGUGGCUGACGCUGAGCGCGACAGCGUGGGGAGCAAACAGG